rnacentral:RNase_P_RNA from 1 species
GGGGAUAGGGGCUCCUGCGCUGAGGGAGAUUCCCUCAGAGGAAAGUCCGGGCGCCAGGGAGCAGGCCUCCCUCCGCAAGGAGGGGCAGUGGCGCCGCAAGGGCCACUGACGGAUAGGGCCACAGAAAACACACCGCCCCUCUUGGGGUAAGGGUGAAAAGGGACGGUAAGAGCGUCCCCUUGGCAACCCCAGGCCGGCGCAAGGCCAAGCAGCCGACGAAGACCGCUCCCAUAGUCGGCGGGUAGGCCGCUCAGAGAGAUGCAGGAGUAGACACAGAACCCGGCUUACCACCUAUCCCCGAUU